AUGGCCGACGUCGAGAAUCCUGCAGGUCCCAACAAGGGCGAUGACGAGUUCGUGGUGGCGGAGCCGAGCGAGUGCAUCGGGUUCGGGAAUCCUGUUCCCAAGAAGGACGGCCACGGCCUCGUGGUGAUGGUGGCGGAGCGGAGCAAGUUCGUCCGGAUCGCGGCCAUGUGCAUGGCGCUCUUCUUUGGAUUGGCGUUACUAUUCAUCUCGAUCCUCCUGCUCAUACUCUUCGAUAACGCCUAUCCUGGGACCAAGCUCGCCGUCGUUGCGUUUGUCGCGGGGAUCAUAGGCAUGGCUGUUGCCUGGACUUGGUUAUCGCUCGUCUACCGUAUCCUUGACGUCGAAGAUGCACAGGGACGUGGAAGACUCAUAGAUAGGUUCGUCCAAUUUCACGUCGAUUUUUUUAAGCUGAUAGUUUGCUGA
rnacentral:rRNA from 1 species